rnacentral:pre_miRNA from 1 species
CUAGUACUCCCUCUGUCCGGAAAUACUUGUCGGAGAAAUGCAUAAAAAUGGAUGUAUCUAGAACUAAAAUACGUCUAGAUACAUCCAUUUCUCCGACAAAUAUUUCCGGACAGAGGGAGUAGAUU